rnacentral:rRNA from 1 species
GGUUAAGUGACUAAGCGUACACGGUGGAUGCCUUGGCAGUCAGAGGCGAUGAAAGACGUAGUAACUUGCGAUAAGCCCAGAUUAGGUAGUAACAACCAUUUGAGUCUGGGAUUUCUGAAUGGGGAAACCCACUUACAUAAGUAAGUAUCAUUAACUGAAUACAUAGGUUAAUGAGGCGAACCGGGGGAACUGAAACAUCUAAGUACCCCGAGGAAAAGAAAUCAACCGAGAUUCCGAAAGUAGCGGCGAGCGAAAUUGGACUAGCCCUUAAGCUUUACACGCGUUAGACGAACGGUCUGGAAAGUCCGACGAUACAGGGUGAUAGUCCCGUAGUUGACGAUGUGUGUUCAGUGAAAUCGAGUAGGGCGGGACACGUGAUAUCCUGUCUGAAUAUGGGGGGACCAUCCUCCAAGGCUAAAUACUACUGACUGACCGAUAGUGAACCAGUACCGUGAGGGAAAGGCGAAAAGAACCCCUGUGAGGGGAGUGAAAUAGAACCUGAAACCGUGUACGUACAAGCAGUAGGAGCAGGCUUUGUCCUGUGACUGCGUACCUUUUGUAUAAUGGGUCAGCGACUUAUAUUCAGUGGCAAGGUUAACCAUCUAGGGGAGCCGUAGGGAAACCGAGUCUUAACUGGGCGUUCAGUCUCUGGAUAUAGACCCGAAACCAGGUGAUCUAGCCAUGGGCAGGUUGAAGGUUGAGUAACAUCAACUGGAGGACCGAACCGACUAAUGUUGAAAAAUUAGCGGAUGACUUGUGGCUAGGGGUGAAAGGCCAAUCAAACCUGGAGAUAGCUGGUUCUCCCCGAAAGCUAUUUAGGUAGCGCCUCGGACGAAUACUACUGGGGGUAGAGCACUGUUAAGGCUAGGGGGUCAUCCCGACUUACCAACCCUUUGCAAACUCCGAAUACCAGUAAGUACUAUCCGGGAGACACACGGCGGGUGCUAACGUCCGUCGUGGAGAGGGAAACAACCCAGACCGCCAGCUAAGGUCCCAAAUUACUACUAAGUGGGAAACGAUGUGGGAAGGCUCAGACAGCCAGGAUGUUGGCUUAGAAGCAGCCAUCAUUUAAAGAAAGCGUAAUAGCUCACUGGUCGAGUCGGCCUGCGCGGAAGAUGUAACGGGGCUAAGUAGUAAACCGAAGCUGCGGCAAUAUACUUUUGUAUAUUGGGUAGGGGAGCGUUCUGUAAGCGGUUGAAGGUGUGUGGUAACGCAUGCUGGACGUAUCAGAAGUGCGAAUGCUGACAUGAGUAACGAUAAAGGGGGUGAAAAACCUCCUCGCCGGAAGACCAAGGGUUCCUGUCCAACGUUAAUCGGGGCAGGGUAAGUCGACCCCUAAGGCGAGGCCGAAAGGCGUAGUCGAUGGGAAACGGGUUAAUAUUCCCGUACUUCUUACAAUUGCGAUGGGGGGACGGAGAAGGCUAGGUGGGCCUGGCGACGGUUGUCCAGGUUCAAGUGCGUAGGCUUAAGAGUUAGGUAAAUCCGGCUCUUUUUAAGGCUGAGACACGACGUCGAGCACCUACGGGUGUGAAGUCAUUGAUGCCAUGCUUCCAGGAAAAGCCUCUAAGCUUCAGAUUGUAAGGAAUCGUACCCCAAACCGACACAGGUGGUCGGGUAGAGAAUACCAAGGCGCUUGAGAGAACUCGGGUGAAGGAACUAGGCAAAAUGGUACCGUAACUUCGGGAGAAGGUACGCUCUUGAUGGUGAAGUCCCUUGCGGAUGGAGCUGACGAGAGUCGCAGAUACCAGGUGGCUGCAACUGUUUAUUAAAAACACAGCACUGUGCAAAAUCGUAAGAUGACGUAUACGGUGUGACGCCUGCCCGGUGCCGGAAGGUUAAUUGAUGGGGUUAGACUUCGGUCGAAGCUCUUGAUCGAAGCCCCGGUAAACGGCGGCCGUAACUAUAACGGUCCUAAGGUAGCGAAAUUCCUUGUCGGGUAAGUUCCGACCUGCACGAAUGGCGUAAUGAUGGCCACGCUGUCUCCACCCGAGACUCAGUGAAAUUGAAAUCGCUGUGAAGAUGCAGUGUACCCGCGGCUAGACGGAAAGACCCCGUGAACCUUUACUACAGCUUGGCACUGAACAUUGACCCUACAUGUGUAGGAUAGGUGGGAGGCUUUGAAGCACGUACGCCAGUAUGUGUGGAGCCGUCCUUGAAAUACCACCCUUGUAGUGUUGAUGUUCUAACGUCGACCCCUUAUCGGGGUUGCGGACAGUGCCUGGUGGGUAGUUUGACUGGGGCGGUCUCCUCCCAAAGAGUAACGGAGGAGCACGAAGGUGGGCUAAUCACGGUUGGACAUCGUGAGGUUAGUGCAAUGGCAUAAGCCCGCUUGACUGCGAGAAUGACAAUUCGAGCAGGUGCGAAAGCAGGUCAUAGUGAUCCGGUGGUUCUGAAUGGAAGGGCCAUCGCUCAACGGAUAAAAGGUACUCCGGGGAUAACAGGCUGAUACCGCCCAAGAGUUCAUAUCGACGGCGGUGUUUGGCACCUCGAUGUCGGCUCAUCACAUCCUGGGGCUGAAGUCGGUCCCAAGGGUAUGGCUGUUCGCCAUUUAAAGUGGUACGCGAGCUGGGUUUAGAACGUCGUGAGACAGUUCGGUCCCUAUCUGCCGUGGGCGUUGGAAGAUUGAAGGGGGCUGCUCCUAGUACGAGAGGACCGGAGUGGACGAACCUCUGGUGUUCGGGUUGUGUCGCCAGACGCAUUGCCCGGUAGCUAAGUUCGGAAUCGAUAACCGCUGAAAGCAUCUAAGCGGGAAGCGAGCCCUGAGAUGAGUCUUCCCUGAUACUUUAAGUAUCCUAAAGGGUUGUCGGAGACUACGACGUUGAUAGGUCAGGUGUGUAAGUGCUGUGAGGCAUUGAGCUAACUGAUACUAAUUGCCCGUGAGGCUUAACCAU